UAGGGAAUAUUGGACAAUGGGUGAGAGCCUGAUCCAGCCAUGCCGCGUGCAGGAAGAAGGCGUUAUGCGUUGUAAACUGCUUUUUGCCAGGGGAUAAAAUGACCGUGCGCGGUUAAUUGAAGGUACCUGGUGAAUAAGCCACGGCUAACUACGUGCCAGCAGCCGCGGUAAUACGUAGGUGGCAAGCGUUGUCCGGAUUUAUUGGGUUUAAAGGGUGCGUAGGUGGCCCUGUAAGUCAGUGGUGAAAUAUCUCAGCUUAACUGAGAGGGUGCCAUUGAUACUGCAGGGCUCGAGUACAGAUGAGGUAGGCGGAAUUGACGGUGUAGCGGUGAAAUGCAUAGAUAUCGUCAAGAACACCGAUAGCGAAGGCAGCUUACCAAGCUGUAACUGACACUGAGGCACGAAAGUGUGGGGAUCAAACAGGAUUAGAUACCCUGGUAGUCCCUGAGCGGGCUGGCAAGGCGCAU
rnacentral:rRNA from 1 species